GGGUGCAUAUAAGCGCGCUUUUUUUAAAUGGCAGACGUUCUUUUCUUGUUCAAUCGCGUUAUGAGCUUUAUCGAACCACAAAAUGUAGUCGCACCCAAAAUAGAUGUUGCUCACUACCAGGAGGGAGAUCUCAUCAAAGCCACUUACCAAAAACAAACAUACGAUGCGGUGAUCAGUGAAAUCCAUCAUGAUGAGGUUUCUCUUAAAGCAUGCAAAGCGACCGCCUAAGCAUGCUUUCAAGGCAACUUAAGAUAGGAAAAAAACUCAAGAGUUCAGUGAUCAAACACCAACAGAGCCUCGUGAUAAGUUGCCUGUAAAGAGGAGCAUGAUCCCAUCAGAUGCCUCCGAAGAGAUUGACCUGACGAACAAUGCUGCAAAGCAAAAUCUCAGUAAGCAAAGUGCUCAAACACCUACAGAGCCUCGUGACAAGUUGCUUGUACACAGAAGAGCCUGAUCCCAUCAGAUGCCUCCGAAGAGAUUGAAAAGAACUGUUUACGGACAUUUUCAGAACUGUUUUAGAACAUUUGUUCCAGACUUAUUUGAAGCAACCCUUUGAAACUGUUCUAAACAUUUCUAGAAUUGUACUGGAACACACCGGCUAGAACUGUUCUGUAAUCAUACUGAAAAUGUUCUAGAAUUAUUCUGGAACAGUUGUUGAACGUUAAAUGAGAAAAAAAUUCUAGAACAAUUCUAGAACAGUUCUGGAAAUUUAGUCAAGAAAAAUUCUGGAAUAGUUCUAGAACGAUAGUUCAAGAAUUGUUCUAGAACAGUUGUUGAACGUUAAAUGAGAAAAAUUUCUAGAACAAUUCUAUAACAGUUCUGGAAAUUCAUUCAAGAAAAAUUCUGGAAAAGUUCUAGAACAAUAGUUCAAGAAUUGUUCUAGAACACACCUUCAGAACUGUUUCAGAACAAAUUGUUCUAGAAAUUAUUCUCAUUUAACGUUCAACAACUGUUCUAAAUCGUUCUAGAGCAUUUUAAGGAUGAUUCCAGAACACUUCUAGUCAUUAGUUCCAGUACAGUUCUAGAAAUGUUAUAGAACAGUUCUAAUAAUCUUCGCAGGGGUUCUUCUUUUGGUUUUCUGUUUUGUAUCUAUAGGUUUAUGACCAGCAAUAUGUUAUAAUGUAAAAUAAGCCGCGAAAACUCCCCGUAACAUCCUGUACUGCGUGUGAUGCAGCUAAGAACUGCACAGAAAAAGACAUUCGCUAUACUUGAUCUCAUUCAUUAAACUAUUUACGCCGUAUAUCUUUUUUAAAGAUAUUUCUUGUUACUAAUAAUCCUGACUGCUUUAUCAUUUUAUAUCCCAAUUCUAGUUCAAUUUCAGAUAAUACCAGGCUUUUAAUUGACAUUCUGUAAUAAAAAGGUAAUUACACAUUGUUAAGUUAAUUAAUACCAUUUAAUAAUCCUGUUGUUUCAAUUUAUUGAGUAUCAAUAUCCUUAUAAUUACUUAAUUGGUCUUAAGAAUCAGGUGGAUCAUUGGUACUAUGGUGUAAAGGCAGUAGUAAUUAUUGAAAAUAAAACAAUUACAAAACAUUAAUGAUGUUUCAUUAAGCUAUAUGACCUUUGUACCAUCAUGUCAUGCGAACCUUUUUAUAAGAUAAAAGUAAUUGUGCUUCAAGGUGACCGAAUUAUUUAGGUUUCUUAAGCAUACAUCAGAUAUUAAUAUCCACCUAUUUCUGGCUUGAACCCAUUUAUAAAAGAUAUUAAUCUGGCAAUUUACAUUAACCUACAAUUGUUCACCGUGACAAUGUCAAGCAUAAUCAACGCGUUCAUGUACUUACAAGCCAUUCAUAUUUCUAGGUUAAUGUAAUUGUUGACCUCUUGUAUUCUUUUAUUUUUUGGGUCGUAUUCCAGAAACAUCUUAAGUUAUUUCUUAAAUAUUUUCACUUAAGUUCAAAAUUACAAUGUUUUGUAUUUCUUUACAAAAUAAAGACAUGCAUGUUGUUUUGGUUUUCCUCAAAUAACACUGACAUAAUGAUGUUAUUUUUAUGUAAUUUUCGAUGCCUCACUAUUGCAGUAUGAAAUAAAACACUUCAGAAAAAUUCCCAAUUUAAGAAUAAAAAUAAAAUUUAACUUAAGAUGCUUCUGGAAUACCACCCCCAGGUGUUAUUGCUAUCUCUCAUUUUUGUGUUUUUUUUGUUAAAUUUCUUAUGUCUAAAUUAUUGUCUCAGAUUUCCACCAUGCAUGUACUUUUCCACCUUUUAAUAUUUUUAUGUUGAAUAAUUACUCCAAUGAUAUGCUAAUGAAAUGUUUAAAGCACAAGUUAAUUCCUGUAGUGAUUCUAUAUAGUAUUUGUUUGUGCUGUUUUGGAAAAAAAUAAAGUCCUGUUCUGUUCAAGCAAAAAAAAUGUCAUUAAUAAUUAAUCAUGAUUAAUCUUUGUGUCAUUGAUCAUAUGAAAGAAGAUACAGAAAUACCUUAUGAAUAUUAAUUGACACAUUCAAUGACAAUUGGCUGUAUGUUACAAUAGGUAAACAAACAUAACUUUGUGCUUAAUUACUUUAAAAUUGUACCCUCCUGUUUGAAAAUGAGUACCUUUUAUUUGACAUUUGUAAGGUCAAUUUCAGGUUACCAAUCACAUUGUUCAAUAAUUAACAGUAAUUAUUUAUCUAUUUCAGUUUGUGUUUGGCUACUGUUAUUCAAAAUGGGGCAAAUAAUUUUUAAUUAGGCUCACAAAAAACUGUUUGUGAAAAUGUCCCUUGAAUGCCAAACCGGGUAAUCAGCAUAUAUAAUAAAGACAUGUAACAAAUUGCUUCUUCAGGGGUGUUUUUAUUAUCAACUUGCUUAUAUAGUCUAUUAGAUAAUCAGCAAAUAAUAUAUGUAGAAGUGUAGAGAUUGUGAAA